UCAUAUGUCACUCUAUUAUAGGCAUAGAUACUACUAUUAAGUAUAAGUGGUUCAGCGAAGUUAUGUUUGUUUCGCAGCAAAAAUUAAAAUUUAAACAAGUGUAAAUGUUUUAGUUUAUAAUUUAGUUUUUUUUAUAUAUUUUUAUUAAUUUUAAAGUUCAACGGAAUCGAAAAAGGCAAAAAAGAAUGAGUAAUAAGUGGAAUUCUGACGAUGAUUUUAGCCGAGACAUCCAAGAAUUAUCCGUGUUCGGUACUAAUGGUUAUUUUGAUAAAGAAAUUUUAUCCAACGCCGAUGAAAUAAGAACGAGAUUGCAAAUAACGAGACGUAGUCGUUUUGAUGAUGACGAAAGGUUCAACCAAAUAUUAAAUGAUGACAGUACCAUUUGUGAGAAUGUAGUAUUUUGUAAACCCGUUCGAGGAAGACCGUUGAAAAAUAUACCUUUGGUCGACAAACCAGGGGGUAAAUCGUCAUUUCUAGACAAACAAAACGAAACUUCUGCAACAAUUAGAAGAGUGUCUGGCUUGGAUUUCUCUAAUGAUAUUAUUGAGAACACACUUCGACAAGAGAACAAACGAAAAGAAAAUGAUGCACCAAAACGAGAAACAUUUGCAAUGCCAAAUAUUCGUUUCAAUCGCACAGGUUCCAAGUCAAACAGCACCACACCUUCUAAUUCAUCAUCAAGUUCUCCAACAUUUUCUUCUCAACAGCCAUUGAUUAAUAAAGAAAUGACGCAGGACCCCUGUAAAUUUGUGACUCACAUCGCCACUGACCUUUAUGAUGUUUUAAGUAAUAGUAAACAGUUAGUUAAUAAGGUACCUCCACCUUUGUUUGAAAUGAUUAAAAAACAAUCAAAAGAAAACGUUUCUCAACAACAAA
rnacentral:misc_RNA from 1 species